GACGAACGCUGGCGGCGUGCUUAACACAUGCAAGUCGAACGGUGAAGGGCCCUGCUUUUGUGGGUCCUGGAUGAGUGCGAACGGGUGAGUAACACGUGAGUAACCUGCCCCCUUCUUCUGGAUAACCGCAUGAAAGUGUGGCUAAUACGGGAUAUUCUGGGUCUGUCGCAUGGUGGGCCUGGGAAAGAUUGCGCCUUUUUUGGUGUUUUUGGUGGGGGAUGGGCUCGCGGCCUAUCAGCUUGUUGGUGGGGUGAUGGCCUACCAAGGCGGUGACGGGUAGCCGGCCUGAGAGGGUGGACGGUCACACUGGGACUGAGACACGGCCCAGACUCCUACGGGAGGCAGCAGUGGGGAAUAUUGCACAAUGGGCGCAAGCCUGAUGCAGCGACGCCGCGUGAGGGAUGGAGGCCUUCGGGUUGUGAACCUCUUUCGCCAGUGAAGCAGGCCUGCCUCGUUUGUGGGUGGGUUGACGGUAGC
rnacentral:rRNA from 1 species